rnacentral:RNase_P_RNA from 1 species
CCAGUCGGCCGGGCGGCCGCUCCGGGUCUCGAAAGAGGCGCGGGGAGGAAAGUCCGGGCUCCACGGAAAGACGGUGCCGGAUAACGCCCGGCGAGGGCGACCUCAGGGACAGUGCCACAGAAAACAGACCGCCUCGGUCCGGACGGCGUUCGCGUCGUCCCGUCCGCAAGGGUGGAAGCGGUGGCCGCAAGGGCAUCGGUUCGAUCGAGGUCAGGGUGAAAAGGUGGGGUAAGAGCCCACCGCGGACCCGGCAACGGGGACGGCACGGCAAACCCCACCGGGAGCAAGACCGAAUAGGGGCGGCGCGGGCUCGAAAGAGUUCCGGUCUUUUCCGGACCAGUCGCCCGGGUUGGUUGCGCGAGGCGUCCAGCAAUGGGCGUCCCAGACGAAUGGCCGCCACGUGGGGGAAACCCCGCCAUACAGAACCCGGCUUACAGGCCGACUGGCCCU